UACGUAGGUGGCGAGCGUUGUCCGGAUUUAUUGGGCGUAAAGCGCGCGCAGGUGGUGCGGUAAGUCUGCCGUGAAAUCUCCCGGCUCAACUGGGAGGGGGCGGUGGAGACUGCCGGACUAGAGGGACUCAGAGGCCGGUGGAAUUCCCGGUGUAGUGGUGAAAUGCGUAGAGAUCGGGAGGAACACCAGUGGCGAAGGCGGCCGGCGUGGGGGUGCCCUGACGCUGAGGCGC
rnacentral:rRNA from 1 species